UACAGAGGGUGCAAGCGUUAAUCGGAAUUACUGGGCGUAAAGGGUGUGUAGGUGGUUAUUUAAGUCAGGUGUGAAACCCCCGAGCUUAACUCGGGACGUGCGCUUGAUACUGAAUGACUAGAGUGUAGUAGAGGGUAGCGGAAUUUCCGGUGUAGCGGUGAAAUGCGUAGAUAUCGGAAGGAACAUCAGUGGCGAAGGCGGCUACCUGGACUAAUACUGACACUGAGGAGCGAAAGCUAGGGGAGCAAACGGG
rnacentral:rRNA from 1 species